AUACGUAGGGUGCAAGCGUUAAUCGGAAUUACUGGGCGUAAAGCGUGCGCAGGCGGUUUUGUAAGACAGUGGUGAAAUCCCCGGGCUCAACCUGGGAAAUGCCAUUGUGACUGCAAGGCUGGAGUGCGGCAGAGGGGGAUGGAAUUCCGCGUGCAGCAGUGAAAUGCGUAGAUAUGCGGAGGAACACCGAUGGCGAAGGCAAUCCCCUGGGCCUGCACUGACGCGCAUGCACGAAAGCGUGGGGAGCAAACAGGAUUAGAUACCCUGGUAGUCCACGCCCUAAACGAUGUCAACUGGUUGUUGGGGAUUUAUUUUCUCAGUAACGAAGCUAACGCGUGAAGUUGACCGCCUGGGGAGUACGGCCGCAAGGUUAAAACUCAAAGGAAUUGACGGGU
rnacentral:rRNA from 1 species